rnacentral:rRNA from 1 species
AGAGUUUGAUCAUGGCUCAGAGCGAACGUUAGCGGCGGGCCUAACACAUGCAAGUCGAACGCGAAAGGGAUUCGUCCCCGGUAGCGUGGCGUCCGGGUGAGUAACACGUAGGAAAUCUUCCCUAGAGCGGGGGAUAACGUCCCGAAAGGGACGCUAAUACCGCAUAAGCCCACGGCGACUCCGGUCGAAGAGGGAAAAGCUGGCCACUGUAUACAAGCUAGCACUUUAGGAUGAUCCUGCGGCGCAUCAGCUAGUUGGUGGGGUAAUGGCCCACCAAGGCUUAGACGCGUAGCUGGUCUGAGAGGAUGAUCAGCCACACUGGCACUGAAACACGGGCCAGACUCCUACGGGAGGCAGCAGUGGGGAAUAUUGGACAAUGGGCGCAAGCCUGAUCCAGCCACGCCGCGUGAGUGAUGAAGGCCUUCGGGUUGUAAAGCUCUGUGGGGAGGGACGAAAACGGCGCACAAGAAACGGUGCGUCCUUGACGGUACCUCCUUAGCAAGCACCGGCUAACUUUGUGCCAGCAGCCGCGGUAAUACAGAGGGUGCGAACGUUGCUCGGAAUUACUGGGCGUAAAGCGCAUGUAGGCGGAUCCAUAAGUCGGGCGUGAAAUCCCCAGGCUCAACCUGGGAACUGCGCUCGAAACUGUGGGUCUUGAGUGUCGGAGAGGAUGGCGGAAUUCCUGGUGUAGAGGUGAAAUUCGUAGAUAUCAGGAGGAACACCGGUGGCGAAGGCGGCCAUCUGGACGACAACUGACGCUGAGAUGCGAAAGCGUGGGGAGCAAACAGGAUUAGAUACCCUAGUAGUCC